rnacentral:lncRNA from 1 species
CCGGGCAUCUUUCUCCCUUAUUGCUUUUCUACACUACACUGGCAUCUCUACUAGAAUAUGGAAGCCUGACUUGAUUACUCAUUCUACCAUCUCCCUCUUAGCUUAAGCCAUCACUCUAAGUCUGUGGGACCCUCUACUAAACUCUAAUCUAAAUUGUAAUCGCAUUACUUUAGAGUCUUGGGUAUAACAAUACACAUAAAUAAAUGAAUAAAUUAAACUUACCCUAAAAUACUAUUUGUAACACCCACUGCUACUACUUCCUUUUGAGAUUCAACUCUUUGAUUUCUAAGCCCCG